UAUUUUUCAGUUAAAAAGAAAUUAUUGAUCUCACUAAAAGUAAUCAUUAAUUAAUCCAUGACAACAGGAGAUCAGCUGUGUCAACACAUAAUCACGAAAAAACCUGUUGCUAAAUUUAUGAAUUCGAGGCUAUGCAACAAUAAAAUACUUUAGUAACCACUACACGCUAAAGUUAUUCAAUAGAGAAUACAGCAAAUGACGAAAAAACGCAAACCAAUAAACAUUCAGCAAAAUAGUUACUUCACUGCCGUUAAUAUUCGACUGGAAGGUUGGCAUCUUCUGUAAUCACGCUUCCGUUAGGUCGGAUUGUGGAAUGGCCUGAGGCCGGGAGUCCUGUGUGGUGGGCCAGUUCAUGUUGACGGAACGUCCGCACUAAGCCUGCCAUCAAUAUGGGUACCAUGGAGGAGUCCAAGGUAUUCAGGUUGGCUAAGGAGGGAUGAACCGGGCCAGGGGUGAAAACCAGCAGCCAAGAGUUCCCGUGGUAGGCAGUAGUGGGAUAGCGUACCGGAGUGAAAUGCCACUACCAGCCCGGCUAAUACGGUUAGACCGCAAUCUUUU